UUCCUUUUGACAUCAAUGCAGUAGUUCCUUUAGUUCAGACCUUUACAGUACUUCUCUUUUGGCCCCUGCCAUACUACUAGCCUUUCCUUUUGAGCUGUACUCUCAUUUCCUAGUCUGCACAUUUCCCUCUGUUCAUUUCAUACUCUCCACUUGUGGUUUACUGUGGGUUACUUCAUCCAGCACCUCUCCAAUCCCUUAAACUAGCUCUCCCCUUACUACACAUAAGCAUAUGCAGCUGCACAUCCCCUUGUCAACUGUCCAGAUACACUCUUCAUGCUGGAUACUAGAGAGAAAAGAAAUGAAAGAACAAGGGAGAGUUUCAGAAUCACUCAGACUACACAGGAGACCAAGCUGAUGUAAGACUGAACAACUCUUUGCUGUACUGAUCUUCAAGUUGUUCUUUUAGAGUGACUUCUGAUGAGUGGGAGCACUUGGAACUGCUAUGUAGAUUCUUCAUGGCUACACAUCUGCUUGCUGACUGUGAUUGUGGUGGACCUGGUAUUAACCUGAAGC